AUGUUGGUAAAGCAUUUACCUAAGUUAUGGAAAAUUCAUAAUUCAUCAGUUAUUUUAGAUAAUACUAAAAAACAAGAUAGAGUAAGAUACAUAAGUGUAAAAGAAAGUGGAUUCAUCAGAUGAUACAUGAGUCCCUAA
rnacentral:rRNA from 1 species